rnacentral:rRNA from 1 species
CCGAUUAGCUAGUUGGUGAGGCAAUGGCUCACCAAGGCGACGAUCGGUAGCUGGUCUGAGAGGACGAUCAGCCACACUGGAACUGAGACACGGUCCAGACUCCUACGGGAGGCAGCAGUGGGGAAUUUUGGACAAUGGGGGAAACCCUGAUCCAGUCAUGCCGCGUGGGUGAAGAAGGCCUUCGGGUUGUAAAGCCCUUUCGGUGGGAAAGAAACGGUGCGCGCUAAUACCACGCACUACUGACGGUACCCACAGAAGAAGCACCGGCUAACUACGUGCCAGCAGCCGCGGUAAUACGUAGGGUGCAGGCGUUAAUCGGAAUUACUGGGCGUAAAGCGUGCGCAGGCGGUUUGCUAAGACAGGUGUGAAAUCCCCGGGCUUAACCUGGGAACUGCGCUUGUAACUAGCAGGCUAGAGUGUGGCAGAGGGGGGUGGAAUUCCACGUGUAGCAGUGAAAUGCGUAGAGAUGUGGAGGAACACCGAUGGCGAAGGCAGCCCCCCUGGGCUAACACUGACGCUCAUGCACGAAAGCGUGGGGAGCAAACAGGAUUAGAUACCCUGGUAGUCCACGCCGUAAACGAUGAUAACUAGCUGUCGGGGCUCUUAGAGCUUCGGUGGCGCAGCUAACGCAUUAAGUUAUCCGCCUGGGGAGUACGGCC